rnacentral:lncRNA from 1 species
UGGAACCUAGUAGUGUCUCAGUGUUCUUGUCUUUCGGUUAGUUGAAGGUUGUGAAGUGAACAUUUAUAGAGAGACACAGGAGCCAAACCCCGGGAGGUUGAGAUAGAUUGCCUAAGAUUCAAGGAACCCAUUUUGGUUGUGUUUUUCCAGGCUAUUCUAUCUUGUUUCAACGUUCUUUCCCCUUUUGUUUUCUUGUGUCAUCAGUUGAUUGUCUUCUCGUGUUUAUGUCGUGUGAUUCGUUCGUUUCUUUUUCUUGAGCCCAAAGGUUCGAAGAGUUGCUUCAAAGGUAGAGAAAGAUUUAAUUUGAGAUGGGAUAGAAGUGUUAGAGAAUAAUAUAAAUUAUAUUUUUAGAUUUUACCUAACAGCUUAAACUAUUGGGUUGAAUUGGUUUUAUAACAUAAUAUCAGAACCUUAUGACUAAGCGAUUAUGAAUUCAAAUCUCAUCAUUUCCGUCUGUUCAAGUUUCAAGCCUAAAGAAUUUUCACUUGAAAAGAUGUGUUAGAGAAUAAUAUAAAUCAUAUCUUGAGAUCUUACCUGACAGCUUAAGCUAUUAGGUUGAGGUGAUUCUUUGACAAAAAGCAUCAAUUUCUAAUUUUUUAGUACCUAUUUAAUUUCUUUGAUUCUCAUUUAAUCCAAGCUUUUUUUCCCAUCAUUUUUGCUUCUUAGUUCAAUCUGCAUUGCUUCGCUUCGGGGCUUAAGCGUAUUGCAGACAGGGCAACCUUGUUAUCAAACCCCCCUAACCAAGCUAAUGAUGCCUUGUGAUCCGUCCAUUGCUUCUGAAAGUGAAGGUUACAGAAGUAAUAGUGCACUGAAUCCUUCUUUGGUGGCGAGGGGUGAGGGAGUCUAUCCUGCUGCUGAAGCCGCAGCAGAGUGCCUCUCAGAGCUUGCUCUCCAAAGAGGAAGCCAAGACAAUAUCACCGCUCAUAGGAAAUUGGGAAGGAGAACGGUGUAGUAACUUGCGUCGCCCAUGGAUUACCUGUAACUCCUUAAUCAUCAACAUAUUUAAACUGCAAUAUAUGGGAAUUACCUUGACUGGUUUUUGCAAAUCUCAUUUUGGCUGAUUGCUUAUUCAUUUGAUUCCUACUUGGUAGACAUUUCAGUGUUUCCCAACUUGUACUGGAGCUAGUUUCGAGCUUAGAAUGUAAUCUUGGGAGUUUGGUGGAGGUUUCGGGUCGUGAUAUUCCAGUCUUCAAGCUGUUCAAACCCCCCACCUCACACCGUAAAUACUCGCUCACAGGUGUAGAAGCAGGGUAUGUUAUGACAGUGUUUG